UAUAAAUGUUAAUUUUUACUAAAGUAGUAUUAGUUAUGAUCUUGAAAUUUAAAAAUUUUGGCGGUAUUUUAGUCUAUUCAGAGGAACCUGUUCUGUAAUUGAUAAUCCACGAUAAAUUAUACUUUAUUUAUUAGUUUAUAUAUCGUCGUUAUUAAAUAUUUUAUUAGAAUUAUAAUAUUUAAGUUUUUUAAUUAGAAAAUAUAUCAGAUCAAGGUGUAGUUUAUAAUAAAGAAGAAAUGGGUUACAAUAAAUUUAUUUAUGGAUUUGUUUAUAAAAAUUAAUAAUGAAAUUGGAUUUGAAAGUAAUAAAUUUUAAAUUUAAUUUAUGAUUUUAGCUCUAAAAUGU
rnacentral:rRNA from 1 species